CACACGCAAAGACACAUCCUCUGUGAUUCACAGGAACGUGAUCGAGAGUAUGCUGAGCGCGUACGUAAAGUGAAUCAAGGUACCGAUCGAAGUCGAUUCUUCGAAGUCCAAGAUUUCUUUCAGUCAGUGCAAGAGAGAUCUGACAAUUUGCUUUAUUGCCGCGGCGGAGAACGAUCACAAUCCCACCAUGAAUUGUCUUCAAAACCUUUCAAUAUCAUCUUCUUUGCCGCUGCGAAGCUUCAAAUGCCGGCAGAGAAAGCCUGAUUUCCAGCCCUGCAAACUGAUGAUAAGGAACUUUACCGAUCUACAUCGACGUUCUUCCGUGAAGGCAGUAUCUGGAUCUACAUCAAGUGUUGAAAUAAGUGGCGCUGAAGUGGAUGAUGCCGAGGAAAAGGAGGAAAAGUCUGAGAUAUAUAGCCAGAACAUGACAGAAGCGAUGGGUUCUGUAUUGACAUAUAGACAUGAGCUGGGAAUGAACUACAACUUCAUUCGUCCGGAUUUAAUUGUAGGGUCAUGCCUACAGACUCGAGAGGAUGUUGACAAGCUCCGCAGCAUAGGAGUUAAAACAAUUUUCUGCUUGCAGCAAGAUCCAGAUUUAGAAUAUUUUGGGGUUGACAUUGGUGAUAUAAUAGCGUAUACAGAGACAUUUGAUGAUAUCGAACAUUUGCGAGCUCAAAUAAGGGAUUUUGAUGCAUUCGACCUACGGCUAAGAUUACCAGCUGUUGUAAGCAAAUUACAUAAAGCGAUGAACCAAAACGGUGGAGUGACUUAUAUACAUUGCACUGCUGGACUUGGAAGAGCUCCUGCUGUUGCGCUGGCUUAUAUGUUCUGGGUUCAAGGCUACACGCUCAAUGAGGCUUCAGAAUUACUGCUGAGCAAACGACCAUGCUUCCCAAAAAUAGAUGCUAUUAAAAGUUCAACGGCUGAUAUUCUUUCGGGAUUCAAAAAGAAGCCUAUCACUUUAUCGUGGGAAGAUGACCAAUGCUCAAUUGUCGAGGUAUCUGGACUUGAUAUUGGAUGGGGUCAGAGGGUUCUAUUAAAAUUCGACAAGGAACGAGGUGUAUGGACUCUCAACAAGGAACUGGCGGAAGGACUAUAUGAAUACAAAUACAUCAUUGAUGGUCAAUGGAGGUGCAACGAAACCGAGCCCGUCACUCCACCCAACAAAGAUGGCCACGUCAACAAUUUCAUUCAAGUUGAUUGUGAUAAUGAUCCAAGUAGUGAGAGAGCUAUUGUUCGAAGAAGGUUAACUGGAGAUGACCCAGAGCUCACUAACGAAGAAAGAGGCAAAAUAAGGCAAUUUCUUGAAGCUUGCCCGGAUGAAAAUUGAAUCAGGGUAUGUUAUAUUGGAAUUCUUUUAUCUAGAAUUAUUAUUUUUUUUUCCUUGAGAUAGAGUAUAAUAAUAGUGUCAAUAAAGACCAAGAAAUAAAUGGAUCGAAUUUUGUUGGCACGAUUACAUUUAGAUUCUUUGAUGGGUAGAUAUUUUUAUAGACCAAGUAUUUUAAACGAUGUUGGU